rnacentral:tRNA from 1 species
GCCCGGGUGGUGGAACUGGUAGACGCGCUAGGUUCAGGACCUAGUCUCCAUUAGGAGGUGCGAGUUCAAGUCUCGCCCCGGGCA